UACGGAGGGUCCGAGCGUUAUCCGGAAUCAUUGGGUUUAAAGGGUCCGUAGGCGGGUUUGUAAGUCAGUGGUGAAAGUCUGCAGCUCAACUGUAGAACUGCCAUUGAAACUGCAUACCUUGAGUAAUUAUGAAGUGGUUAGAAUAUGUAGUGUAGCGGUGAAAUGCAUAGAUAUUACAUAGAGUACCGAUUGCGAAGGCAGAUCACUAAUAAUACACUGACGCUGAUGGACGAAAGCGUAGGUAGCGAACAGG
rnacentral:misc_RNA from 1 species